UAGCAAGCACCCGUCGGAAUUACUGGGCGUAAAGGGCUCGUAGGCGGCCAACUAAGUCAGACGUGAAAUCCCCAGGCUUAACCUGGGAACUGCGUCUGAUACUGGAUGGCUUGAAUUCGGGAGAGGGAUGCAGAAUUCCAGGUGUAGCGGUGCCCUCUCAAGAUAUCUGGAAGCCCCACUGUGGCGAAGGCGG
rnacentral:rRNA from 1 species